rnacentral:rRNA from 1 species
GGACGACGCUGGCGGCGUGCCUAAUACAUGCAAGUCGAACGGUCUUUCUAUGGAAGCUGCUUCCACUGAGAAGAUAGUGGCGAACGGGUGAGGUAACACGUGGGUAACCCUGCCCAUAAGAGGGGGAUAACAUCCGGAAACGGGUGCUAAUACCGCAUAGUUUUCUUGAUCGCAUGAUCGGGAAAGGAAGGACGGCCUUUGUGCUGUCGCUUAUGGAUGGACCCGCGGCGUAUUAGUUAGUUGGUGAGGUAACGGCUCACCAAGACGAUGAUACGUAGCCGACCUGAGAGGGUGAUCGGCCACAUUGGGACUGAGACACGGCCCAAACUCCUACGGGAGGCAGCAGUAGGGAAUCUUCCGCAAUGGACGAAAGUCUGACGGAGCAACGCCGCGUGAGUGAAGAAAAGGGUUUUCGGAUCGUAAAACUCUGUUGUCAGAGAAGAACAAGUUGGAGAGUAACUGCUCCAGCCUUGACGGUAUCUGACCAGAAAGCCACGGCUAACUACGUGCCAGCCGCCGC